rnacentral:rRNA from 1 species
AUUGAACGCUGGCGGCAGGCCUAACACAUGCAAGUCGAGCGAGCGGCGGACGGGUGAGUAAUGUCUGGGAAACUGCCUGAUGGAGGGGGAUAACUACUGGAAACGGUAGCUAAUACCGCAUACCAUCAGAUGUGCCCAGAUGGGAUUAGCUAGUAGGUGGGGUAACGGCUCACCUAGGCGACGAUCCCGCGACGGUCUGAGAGGAUGACCGGCACAAUUGGAACUGAGACACGGUCCAGACUCCUCCGGGAGGCAGCAGUGGGGAAUAUUGCACAAUGGGCGCAAGCCUGAUAGAGCCAUGCCGCGUGGGUGAAGAAGGCCUUCGGGUUGUAAAGCACUGUCAGCGGGGAGGCGUUACCCGCAGAAGAAGCACCGGCUAACUCCGUGCCAGCAGCCGCGGUAAUAC